rnacentral:rRNA from 1 species
AUCCUGGCUCAGAUUGAACGCUGGCGGCAGGCCUAACACAUGCAAGUCGAGCGGAUGACGGGAGCUUGCUCCUUGAUUCAGCGGCGGACGGGUGAGUAAUGCCUAGGAAUCUGCCUGGUAGUGGGGGACAACGUUUCGAAAGGAACGCUAAUACCGCAUACGUCCUACGGGAGAAAGCAGGGGACCUUCGGGCCUUGCGCUAUCAGAUGAGCCUAGGUCGGAUUAGCAAGUUGGUGGGGUAAUGGCUCACCAAGGCGACGAUCCGUAACUGGUCUGAGAGGAUGAUCAGUCACACUGGAACUGAGACACGGUCCAGACUCCUACGGGAGGCAGCAGUGGGGAAUAUUGGACAAUGGGCGAAAGCCUGAUGCAGCCAUGCCGCGUGUGUGAAGAAGGUCUUCGGAUUGUAAAGCACUUUAAGUUGGGAGGAAGGGCAGUAAGUUAAUACCUUGCUGUUUUGACGUUACCGACAGAAUAAGCACCGGCUAACUCUGUGCCAGCAGCCGCGGUAAUACAGAGGGUGCAAGCGUUAAUCGGAAUUUUACUGGGCGUAAAGCGCGUAGGUGGUUUGUUAAGUUGGAUGUGAAAGCCCCGGGCUCAACCUGGGAACUGCAUCCAAAACUGGCAAGCUAGAGUACGGUAGAGGGUGGUGGAAUUUCCUGUGUAGCGGUGAAAUGCGUAGAUAUAGGAAGGAACACCAGUGGCGAAGGCGACCACCUGGACUGAUACUGACACUGAGGUGCGAAAGCGUGGGGAGCAAAC